rnacentral:rRNA from 1 species
GAUGAACGCUAGCUACAGGCUUAACACAUGCAAGUCGAGGGGCAGCAUGAACUUAGCUUGCUCAGUUUGAUGGCGACCGGCGCACGGGUGAGUAACACGUAUCCAACCUGCCGAUGACUCGGGGAUAGCCUUUCGAAAGAAAGAUUAAUACCCGAUGGCAUAGUUCUUCCGCAUGGUAGAACUAUUAAAGAAUUUCGGUCAUCGAUGGGGAUGCGUUCCAUUAGGUUGUUGGCGGGGUAACGGCCCACCAAGCCUUCGAUGGAUAGGGGUUCUGAGAGGAAGGUCCCCCACAUUGGAACUGAGACACGGUCCAAACUCCUACGGGAGGCAGCAGUGAGGAAUAUUGGUCAAUGGACGAGAGUCUGAACCAGCCAAGUAGCGUGAAGGAUGACUGCCCUAUGGGUUGUAAACUUCUUUUAUACGGGAAUAAAGUGAGGCACGUGUGCCUUUUUGUAUGUACCGUAUGAAUAAGGAUCGGCUAACUCCGUG